rnacentral:lncRNA from 1 species
GGAUCGCAGUGGUGCUCCGACUUCAUCCGCAUCUGUGGAGGCUCAGGCAGUUCAGGCCAUAUCUGCAUCAAUACCUCACUCCGAGGAAUGGUAAGAGGUGUGUAGUUAUUGUAACACCUAGGAGGUGAGGGUUGUCUAUCCCUCCUUGGAGGACUUUGAGAUCGAUAGUUUUGGCCCUCAUUUUUCCAUCUCUGGAAUGGAGAUCGAGAGCACUGAUGAAUUCUCUCCUUUUGCUUUGGGGAGCACUCCUUAUUCGAUCCUACCAUAAUAGAACUGACAGGAGGA